rnacentral:tRNA from 1 species
GCGCCCAUAGCUUAACGGAUAAAGUAGCGGUCUUCGGAACCGCUGAUGGGGGUUCGAUUCCCUCUGGGCGCG